GCUUACGGCCACACCGCCUGGUUCACGACCGAUCUCGUUUGAUCUCGGAAGCCAAGAUAGGUUGGGCCUGGUUAGUACUUGGAUGGGAGACCGCCUGGGAAUACCAGGUGCUGUAAGCU
rnacentral:rRNA from 14 species